rnacentral:lncRNA from 1 species
GAGUCAUGUUAGUGUAUGUUUGGUCCCUCAUUUGAGUCCACUUGUGUAGGUUCGGACCCGAGGAACCGAGGACCCCAGCAGUGAGAUAGUCUGUUUAGAGUCAGCCUGAGGUGAGUAGAAUGAAUCUUUAUAUUUCAAAGCAAAUAAAAUUCGAGCAUGUUCAUGCAUCACGAAUGCCAUGAUAUAUAUUAGAUUGUUUGCAUUAGAAUUCAUGAAUAUGAUGCAUUGCAUUAAUUAUUGUUGAUGUGGAUGGAUGUUGGAUGAUCCAUUAGUCUUCGAUAUGAUAUGAGAUGGUAUGGUACGGAAGUCCAGGUCGAGACCCAUUCUACGCCCCAGGCACGAUGUUAAGAGAAAGUCCAGGUCGAGGCCCAUUCUAUGCCCCUGGCACAUUGAAAUGUUAUGUUAUGUUAAGGGAAAGACCAGUGGCCCAUUCUACGCCCUGACACUAUUGGAAUGUGUAGAGGGCUAUUGGUGACAAGUCCAUCCUUGAUGUGAAUUGUUUGUGAUAUGAUGCAUUCCAUGAAAGCAUAUGUUUUUAAUAUACUAUUUUACUAUUCUGCUCACUGGGCUCUAGUAGCUCACCUCUUUCCCUUAACCCCCAG